GUCCCUGUAGCUUACAUAUAAAGCAUGACACUGAAGAUGUUAAGACGGCCAUUAUAUACCCCAGGGACA
rnacentral:tRNA from 1 species